rnacentral:lncRNA from 1 species
UGCCCCCUGUUUGGAGGAUGAUGUUGGAGAUGCUUGCCACAGAGAAUAGUCACUGUAUGAGAUCAGACAGGUAGUCCAUACAUUACAGGAAAGGUCUCUUUAAUCAGUCUUUCUUCAACUGCCUACCUCUUUUAAAGUGGAAGGAGAGGCUGUUUCUAACUGAGGAAUAUGAACCUUAUCCCACUGGAAAUUUUGCCAAGGUCAUCUGCUUUUUUUCCUGCCUUUCCCUCAGAAGAAAAAACAUUCAAAAGGUCACCAUCAUCUAGACUGAUGAGCCCAUAUCUUGCAUCUUUGGAAAACCAGCCUCUUCUGCAGCUAAUAUAACUAAAUAUCCACCUUAGAGAGUCAAAGUUCACCUGAGGAUCUAUUACCACUCUCCAGGUUUCAGAAGAGUCUUUGCAAACCUUUUCGUAUUUGACCUUUUCAGCCAUCGCCUUGCAAAAUUGGAGUCAACUAAGACAGGGAACUAGGUAUAACUGUGGUAGUCCAGUAUUGACUUUCAUGGAGUAGUGCAUGAGAAAUAAGCAGUUGCACAUGCUCUCCUUUUGCGUUUCUCAAGAAGUUUCAGACAGAGUCACUUAAAAGUAUAUCCAUUCAGAUGAGUCAACAGACCUCUGUGAGCAGUGCUGACAGUGUGCACUGACAGUCGGAUCAGACUGCACAUUGCAUGCAGACAGCACACAAAGAAGCCAGUCCUGUAUUAGAGAGGGGUUACUUCUGAGCACAACUGCCACUGAAGUCACACGCUGAGAAUUUUGUUUAUAAAAUGAAUUCCGUAGGUACAAGUCAUCAGGAGAAGAAAAAGCCCCAUGGACGGUAUUAUAUAAUCCAGAUAAAUUUACUAAUAGGGGAUUUUCCAGUGGAAGAAACCUUACAUCAUGCUUAAGCAAGUAAAAAUAAACCUGGCAAUUGCAUUUGUUCA